AACGUAGGUGGCGAGCGUUAUCCGGAUUUACUGGGCGUAAAGGGUGUGCAGGCUGCCCCUCAAGUGGUGUAUGAAAGGGCUCGGCUCAACCGGGCUAGGUUAUGCCAGACUGAGGGGCUAGAGAGCGAGAGCGGGACGUGGAAUUCCGGGUGUAGUGGUGAAAUGCGUAGAUAUCAAGAGGAACACCUGAGGUGAAGACGGGUUGCUGGGCUGACACUGACGCUGAGGCGCGAAAGCCAGGGGAGCAAACGGG
rnacentral:rRNA from 1 species